rnacentral:lncRNA from 1 species
UCUCUCUCUCUUCUUAGACACAGACUCUCAGACCCAGCCCCAAAUCUCUCAUACCCAGCCCAUCACGCAGAGAGAAACCCAUCACACAGAGAAAAACGCGAAGCAGAGAUCAACGAAGGUGUGGCUCUCCUCUUCCUCGACUUCCAUUACGAUACCCACCAGUCCACUGGUCCAAGAAUCCACGUCGAUUAUCUUGGUAUGGGAAAAAGGAUGGGGGAGCGACCUAACGUGAGCAGGGGUGGUGGUUAUCGCCGUUGUUGAUGCUACUUCUUCUAAUUCAGAAGAGUGACGGCAUAUGGCUGAGCUUACCGGCGACGGGGACACGUCGUCGUAAUUUCAGAUGAUCAUGUUCAUCCCACGCCCACCAUCUCCGUCAAGGUAAUAGUCCCCAUAAAAUUUAAAUUUUUAAUUGAGUUGGUUCUCUGAUUUUCUUCUAUUGAAUUUUGCCGCAUGAAUUGAGAUUUUACUUAAUUUAGUGAUAAUUUGUUUGGUUUUAUGUUUAUAGCAUUUUGAUGCUUCUUGGCUCACUUGAAUAUUUUUCAUUUAUUAUUACUUUUUUGAAUAUCUCAUAAUUGGAAUAUGGACUACAGUACAUGAUAGAACAAUAAGUUGAAGGAUUAUUAUAGAAGGAAGGCAGAGUGUGGUGAAGCCUAUGAAGAAGAACCCUUUGAAGAAUCUCAACACUCUGCAAGGAAGAUGGCUCUUUUGGCCGAGGCACAGCGUGUAAAGGCCAAGAAGGAGAAGCUUGAUGAGAAGAGGAUUCUAGUGACAAAGGUAUGUAAUCUUAAAUUUCCAAUGUUUCUUAAUAGUUUAUUUGUAUAUG